UGUCUUUUUGAAAAUAAUAUAAAGUCUAAUCUGCCCACUGAUUAAAUAAUUGAAGGGCUGCAGUAUAUUGACUGUACAAAGGUAGCAUAAUCAUUAGUCAUUUAAUUGGUGACUUGUAUGAAGGAUUUGAUGAAAUAUAAACUGUCUCUUAUUUAAUUAUAAAAUUUAAUUUUUUUAUUAAAAAGUUAAAAUGUAUUAAAAAGACGAGAAGACCCUAUAGAGUUUAAUAAAUUAUUAAAUUGAGAUUAUAUGUAAAUUAAACUUGAAAUUGAGUUAUUUAUUUUGUUGGGGUGACAAAAAAAUAUAUUAAACUUUUUUUAUUUAAAAACAUUUAUAAGUGGUUAAAUGAUCCAAUAAUGUUGAUUAUAAGAAAAAAUUACCUUAGGGAUAACAGCGUAAUUUUUUUUUUUAGUUCAAAUAAGAAAAAGAGUUUGCGACCUCGAUGUUGGAUUAAGAUAAAAUUUAAAUGUAGAAG
rnacentral:rRNA from 1 species